GACGUAGGGCGCGAGCGUUGUCCGGAUUUAUUGGGCGUAAAGAGCUCGUAGGCGGCUCGUUGCGUCGGCUGUGAAAACCCGCGGCUCAACUGUGGGCUUGCAGCUGAUACGGGCGGGCUGGAGUUCGGUAGGGGGGACUGGAAUUCCUGGUGUAGCGGUGAAAUGCGCAGAUAUCAGGAGGAACACCGGUGGCGAAGGCGGGUCUCUGGGCCGAUACUGACGCUGAGGAGCGAAAGCGUGGGGAGCGAACAGG
rnacentral:rRNA from 1 species